CGCGCGCGGGCGCCCCACCGCUGCUGCAGCCCGCAGGGACCGGAGACAUGCGGAGUCUGUUGUCUGUCGCCUUCGCAGGGCUACAAGCGAACUUUAGGUUUUAACCAAGAAGCAAGAAAGAAGAACUGAUUUUGCCAGGCACACGGAGCUUCCCAUUGUUUCUACUCUUCAGGAUCCAUCUUAGUGCCUUCUCCAUGAAGUUUUCCCUUCUGCUCCCUAGAACUCUGUGGGUGGCUCAGUCCAGGCUGCCCUAGUACGUUUAUUUUUUUGGCUGCUUCCUCUAAUCCAGCAGUUACUUAAAAAUUCCAUUAAGGCAGAUAUAUAAACUUAAUAUAUACUUUCAGUGCCUUGAACAGUCCUUUACAAUUCAUAGGUGCUUGUUGACUUAAUUUCAUUUUCAAAAGGAACUUUGAUUUCAAAGGAUGUCAGGAUGUCAAAAAAAAAAAAAAGGUUUUGCAGCAUGGUCCCUAAUUUGAUGUCAUAAUGUUUAAGUAUUGUAUUACAUUAACAUGCUACAAGGAACCAUCUUAAAGGAGGGGCUUUAGCUUUGUGAGAUUCUUUCCUCUGUUUUGGAAUUCCAUGCCUGGCCCUGGCUUUGGAAACUCACCAUAGAAGUACAGGAAGCAAGACACAAUAGAGACGAUGAAGAUGUCAAGAAGGCAGUGAAUGAAUAUGAUGGCAUCCUGGAGACGUAUAUUCCUGUAUUGAUGGCCCAGGCAGAAAAUCUACUGGAACCUCGAAAGUUAUUCAAUGGUAGAAGAGAUCUUUCGCAAAUCUGUGGAAUUCUGCAAUGAGCAUGAUGUGUGGAAGCUGAAUGUGGCUCAUGUUCUCUUCACAAAAACAAACACAAAGACGCCAUCGGUUUUUAUGAGCCCGUAGUCAAGAAGCACUAUGACAACAUCCUGAAUGUCAGUGCUACUGUACUGGCUCACCUCUGUGUUUCAUACAUUAUGACAAGUCAAAAUGAAGAAGCUGAGGAGUUGAUGAGGAAGCCUGAAAAGGAGGAAGAUUGGCUCUCCUAUGAUGACCCAGAUGAGAAAAACUACCAUCUGUGGAUUUGCUGAUAGGGACACUUUACUGUGCCAAAGGAAAUUAUGACUUUGGGAUUUCUCGAGUUAUCAAAAGCUUGGAACCUUAUAAUAAAAAACUUGGAACUGAUACCUGGUAUUAUGCCAAAA